AAAGCGUGCGCAGGCGGUUUUGUAAGUCUGAUGUGAAAUCCCCGGGCUCAACCUGGGAAUUGCAUUGGAGACUGCAAGGCUAGAAUCUGGCAGAGGGGGGUAGAAUUCCACGUGUAGCAGUGAAAUGCGUAGAUAUGUGGAGGAACACCGAUGGCGAAGGCAGCCCCCUGGGUCAAGAUUGACGCUCAUGCACGAAAGCGUGGGGAGCAAACAGGAUUAGAUACCCGUGU
rnacentral:rRNA from 1 species